AAAAAUGAAGCAAUAUUUGCAUUCAGUUUCGACCUGACCUUUAGGAUAACCCAUUUUUG
rnacentral:tRNA from 1 species